UCGUGGUACUUGAUCAAAGCAAUAGAAACCCUAACGAAGACAGCAAGAGUCACUCUGCAAAGCAGGGGCUGCUGCUACAAGAGACCAAGAUGGAGCACUGAAUGAUCAGGCUAGACUCGCUGCUUGAGAAGCGGCGAGGGACACAGGAGGAGGAGGCUGAGACCCUUUCUUAGGAGUCCAGUUUUGGAGGGGACGGAAUGCGUGUGCACACAUCUGCUGCCUGAAGAAACUGGCUGAUAGACAUGCACAGACACACACAGUUCUGCCAGGUGCAGGUCCUUGCCCAGCCCUAGGCAGACAACACUACUACUCUUUCAACGGAGAGGCCUGGAAGAAGAAGAAUCUCUUGCUGAGAGUCACAUAAGACAAAAGUAGUCACCCUAGACUACUUAUUCACUUAUCACGUUCUACAGGUUUGGGGGAGCAGAUUUCUUUUCAUUUCCUUUGCCCAAAACCCUGCACAUACCAAAUUCUUAAAUGGCCAACACAAGAGCUAAAAGGCUCCUUGGAGAUGAAAUGAGCUGUGAGGAAAAGAAGGUACAGAGAGGUUCAGUGAUUGGGCAAGACAGCAACAAAAUGCAAGCUGACCAGGGAGCAAAUGGCCUGCUGGGCCAAGAGCUCAGGUCCUGGAGGGCAACAGACUGGGCCAAGCACACUGCCUCAAAUCUCAGCUUCGCCACAUUCUAGCAAGUUGUCUAACUUCCGUGGGCUGUUCCUAGUUCUGAAAGAUGAGAACAGCACAUCUCUCCUCAGGCUGUCCUGAAGAGUAAGAGAGGGAAUCCACAUUCCAAUGCUCAGAGCAGUGUCUGACACACAAGCAUGGAGGGACACUGGCCAUCUAUCCCAUCAUCGGUGGAAGGGUAAGGCAUUGCUCGUGCCCCGUGUGCGUGGGGUGUGGCCCCGCCCCCUCACCACAGUGACGGCAUCAUUGAGCAGGGACUCCCCGAAGACGAGGAUGUGGAGCAGUUCGUUGAUGUGGAUCUCCUCGAAGACAGCCAGCACGGCCACGGGGUCCACAGCUGAGAUGAUGCUGCCGAAGAGCAGGGUGUCCAGCAGGCCAAUGUUGUUGAUCUGCUCCCCGCCCACCAGGCACACGGCGUACAGGAGGCCACCCAGGAAGAAAGCGUUCCAUAGCGUGCCCACCACAGCAAAGAUCAGGAUGGUGCCCAGGUUCUCCGUGAACUGCCGCAGUGGCAGGAAGUAGCCGGCAUCCAGGAUGAUGGGCGGCAGCAGGAAGAGGAAGAAGACGUCUGACUGCAGGAAGGGGGGCGUCUCGCCAACACCCUUGAUGAGGCCCCCCACCAGCAGCCCCACCACGAUCAGCAGACAGCUCUCUGGGACGAUGCUCGAGAUGGUGGGGAUCACAUGGAAACCUGUGAAGGGCGAGAGAACGGGAGGCCGUGGGCUUUUCAGGGGAGCCAGAAGAACAGGAGGUUGGGGACAGGACUGGGGACCAGGAGAGCAUCUGGCGAGAGGUGCACAAGCUUGGU